AUUCUCCCAUCCAGAUUUUGGAGAGGGUGGGAAGUUUUCCACACAACCUCUGUGAGCUGUUCUCUGUUUUCCAGGAUCCCUGGGACUGUGGUUUGGGAGCUGCCUCUGAGUGUCUCCAUAACCAGGAUCAGGACACAGAGCAUUUCAAAGCUCCAGGAUUCCCAAGUGUCAGACCCCCCCAGCCCACCAGGACUCGGGAGCUUUCAGAGCCCAGCUCAGGAGAGGCUGUGCUGUUCCACAGAUCCCAUCCCUCCGAUCGCUGCCUGCUGAGGGACAUGCAACUGAAAUCCUGGAAUGCUGCUCCUGGAAUGCCUGUGUGCAACCAACACCCAACAGCUGCACCAGGCCAUUCCCACAGCAUGGCUGAACUUUACCCACCACUGGAAUGGGAUCCCUGUGCAACGGGGUCUGAGGUACAAACAGAAUUCCUUGUGCCGGCUCCGAAGGUGCUGCCGGUGGAGAAGAGCUCGGAAGGGAUGGGAAAGCCGAGCACUUCCAUCACCUUCUCAUCCCAGGGAUGCCUCCAGUCCCCACUGGGUUCCCAGGCACUGGGCAGCAGCCUCUCCAGGGAUGGGUUUGAUGGGAUCACACCUUUGGAUGUCGACUCUGGUGCCACUGGGGAACAGAGCCAUGACACACAACACUGGGAAGGAUCUGGGACUUGUCCUGCAAGUCCAGUGCUGGCUGGCUCCAUGUUCCAGGAGGUUAAUCCUGCAGAUCAAGGCAGGGUUCAUCCCAUCUCUGCUGACAGGGACAGAGCUGGAGUUUAUCAGGACACAGACUCUUCGUCAGCUCAGGAUUCUGGGAGUGUCCAUGCUGGGAAAAGACAGACUCCCAGCGCAGAAAAAUGUGAUUUUUUGGCCCAGGAUGUGGGUGAGUUGGGCAGGCAGAGGGACAUGGGGUUCAGUCAGGAAAGAAAUCCAUUCAUUGAACCCCAUUCCCUGAGCUCUUCCCAGCAGGAGAAGAGCAGCUCUGACCACAUCCAGCUCAGUGAGAGCUUGGAAAGUUCAGCUCCAGCAGAACAAAUGGAUUUGCUCCAGGGUCGGAGCGAGCUGGGAGAAGAGAGGAAAAGUCCUGCUGAACCACCUCUCAUUCCAACAGAGGUUGGGAGGGACCAAGUGGAGGCAUCUCACCAUUCACCCCCAGAGGAGGUUUUAUCCACCACAUCUGCAGCUCCCCCUUCACCAACCAAGAAAUUCCUGUCCUGUGUCCACAUCACCCUCUCCUCCAAGGUCCGUCACGUGGAGCUGCCGAACGUGGACGCGGAAAACGGGGUGAAAGUGGGGGAUAAACCCGAAGUUCAGGCUCAAUUGAAAGCUCCAGAAGAUUUAAGAGAAGCUGCUCCUGAAUUCCCACCUGCUGACCUUAUUCCAGAAGGUCCAAGAUCACCUUUCCCAGUGGCUUCAGCAGAUCCCAGCCGGGUGUUUCCCUCUGGGCAAGAGCUGGUGCAGCAAAGCAGUGAGAGACCUCAAGUCCCUGCUCUGGGAUCAGGGGGGUUUAUUCCCAAGGAUCUCUCCAGCUCUGUGCUUCCUACAAAACCUGGGAGGAGGACUUCAGAUGCUGCCACUCAGAUCACCACAGAAGGUCCUGAAAAAACCACCUUUUCAGCAGAAAUUUAUGUUCAUCCCCAAGAGGGUGAAGGUGCUGCCCAGAAACCACCUGAACUUCCCAAAGUUACAUCCCAUAACGAGAUUCCCCCCUUCCCAAGGCAACCUGGUGAGCAAAUUCCUGUCUUUUUAAUUUAUAUACUUUAAUCUGUUCAAGUUCAAGACAUUUAUAAGUAUUAAAAACCAAAAAUA
rnacentral:lncRNA from 1 species